CCAAGUGGGCCAUUUUUGGUA
rnacentral:siRNA from 1 species